UGGGGAAUAUUGCACAAUGGGCGCAAGCCUGAUGCAGCCAUGCCGCGUGUAUGAAGAAGGCCUUCGGGUUGUAAAGUACUUUCAGCGGGGAGGAAGGCGAUAGGUUAAUAACCUUGUCGAUUGACGUUACCCGCAGAAGAAGCACCGGCUAACUCCGUGCCAGCAGCCGCGGUAAUACGGAGGGUGCAAGCGUUAAUCGGAAUUACUGGGCGUAAAGCGCACGCAGGCGGUCUGUCAAGUCGGAUGUGAAAUCCCCGGGCUCAACCUGGGAACUGCAUUCGAAACUGGCAGGCUAGAGUCUUGUAGAGGGGGGUAGAAUUCCAGGUGUAGCGGUGAAAUGCGUAGAGAUCUGGAGGAAUACCGGUGGCGAAGGCGGCCCCCUGGACAAAGACUGACGCUCAGGUGCGAAAGCGUGGGGAGCAAACA
rnacentral:rRNA from 1 species